CUGGAACACACACGACAGGCCGACACGGAGUUCACGACGAUUGAUGACUGAUGACAAGUAACUGAUGAGUCCGAGUCUACCAUCCUCCGGUAAACCCUAUAAUAAUCAGUUUACUGCAUCCACACCGAUAGUGAAAAUAGGCCACCAGUGAAACUUCCUUCCAUUGGGCCAGAGACUUCAGGAGCCAAAAAGUAUGCAGUUUGCAGGGCGGUGCCAGCACCCUAACUUAGGGAAAAUAGCCACCAAAGAAAUGGCCUUCCAUUGGGCCAAAGACUUGAGGAGCAAAAAGGAAUGCAGCAUACAGCUCGUUGGACACAUCAAAUCAAAGGGAGGCCAGACUACAUGAUUUGCUGCAUCCAGAGAACGGAAGUACAAGGGCAGAGGGAGGCUAGACUGAGGACGAGAGUAGCUGCAUUCAGAGCAACAGGAGUCUGACUGAAACAGAGGGAGGCCAGAUUGGAAGUCCAGAGAUGAGAGAAGCAGCAUACAGGGCGGCAGACAUAUCAGAUCAGAGGGAGCCCUGACUAGAAGCCAAAGGAUAAGAUUUGCUGCAUGCAGAAGUACCAGAACAGAAGAAGGCCACGUUGGUAGAUCUGAGGAUGAGAGUGGCUGCAUCCAGAACAGAGGGAGGCCUGACUGGAAGUCCAAAGGAAGAAAGAAGCUGCAUCCAGAGCAGCAUUAGAUCUGGAACAGAGGGAGACCAAACUGGAAGCUCAGAAUUGCGGAUAUGAAAAAAGCUGCAUUCGAUUACAGGCCAGAUUUGUUAUCACAAGCAUAUUCACAUAUCCCAUUGGAUAGUUUGAUGUUUGUCAGCACUGCAAUGCAUUCAAGUGGAAAGAAGAGGCUCCAGGAUUCUGCUGCAGUAAUGGAAAAGUCUAUGCAAUAUUUGGUCAGUCUGUUCGAUCCACUUCAAUUGCUCAUGUUGGGAGAUACAACCAUUUAAUAUUUCCACAAACAUCCAAAAGUACAUUUUCUGCUUCCAAAUGACUCUGUGCAAAGGAAAUUUGUGAGACAGGCUACAUGCCCACCUUUAAAAUUCAAGGUUGGGUGUAGAUGCUUUUGGGAUCACCUGCUUCCUAUGCCAAGUUUAUUCAGCUACGUCAUGGGCGAUGCAACCUCAGAGGCCAAAAUGAAACAACAGGAUACCGGGCCUAAAGGAAGGCAUAUUGUUGUAAUCUUCAGGAGUUCUUCACAGGCACCAUACCUACAUCGCCAUCUUCAAAACAGUCUUGGAGCUCAUGCUUACAGAGAACCACAAGAUCAGGAUUAGCUCGGACAAGAAGCCGUUUCGAUGUCCCCACCUUCAAAGUGGCUGUGGUGAUGUCGGCAAUUACUUUCAGCCUUGUGACAUCAUCCUUCACAAGAAAAACCAGACAGUUCGGAGGGUGACCAACACCCACAGGUCCUAUGACUCCCUGCAGCAUUUUCUGAUUUUCUGGCAAGACGAGGAUGGCUACUACUUCAAUGUUCCUGAAAUUAAUUAGGCCACUCAUAAAGCAAAAGUGUCACGAGACUAUUGUAAUCAAAGAAACGUGAGCUAGGGAAGAAAACCACCUUUUGAAGUGCAGAAUGCCAUUUCAUCAGUUUAUUUUGACAUGUAAUGUCAAAAUUGAGAGCAAGAAGCUUUGUUACAAUGGACCCACCAGGAGGAGCUGCGAGCCACUGAUACAUCCACCUCCAAGAUGUCAUUGUCAAAAAAAUGAAUCCAAGGGAGCUGAGAAAAAUGGUCAACCUAGGGCAAGGACAAAGGCUAGCUGGAAGUCAAAUCCACCACACCCUGGGACACAUCUACAUGGUCCAUCCCUCCAGCAUCAAAUGGCUCUCUUUGAGAAUGCUUCUGCACAUUGUACAGCAGCCCCAUAUCAUCAUUUACAUGGUCCAUCAAAUGGCUCUUUUUGAGAAUGCUUCCGCACAUAGUGUAGCGCCAUGUAUCACUUGUAGGAAAAUGGUACAGCGCCACGAGUCUGAAAAUGAACGACAGUCAAGCCAGUGUCACUUUCUGGGAGGUCUGUGAGAGAUAAGGUUUGUUGGAGAGUGGCCUGCACUGGGAUAUCACCCUGGAUGAAACUGUUUUGUCACUGCUGCUGAGGAAAAUCAGAUGGAUUUUUGGUCAACACCUGUAACCAUGUUCAACCCCCCUUCAGCUCGGGUAAAGUACAGGAAUGGUAAUAAUGAAGAUGUUCUGCAUAAAGUGAGGCAAGAUAAUCCAACCCCGAAUAUCGUUGAUUUUUGCAGAUUUGCCAAGAGGUUCUUCACAAGAUCAGUUACUGUCCUGAUUACCUUGCCCAGUUUGUCACAGAAAAGGAACCCCAGCAUUUGUCAGACCAGCAGAGCACCUACGAAGCCAUUCUUUGGCAACCACGCCAAUGGCCAAACAGGUGGUCUGAUCUUCCUGGAUGCUCCUCAUGGAACUGGAACAUUCCUUAUAAGCCUUAGCUCCAACUUCUGGAUGGAGGUUCCAUUGCCCACUCUUGCUUUGAAAUUGUUGCUCAAUUUGGCACUCUGCUUGAAGAUUCCCGUCUGUGACAUUUCCAACGGAUGGCAUGAGCUGCGGGAAAAUAUUUCAGCAGUGCAGCCUCAUCAUUUGGGGCAAAUACACCAUGGAUAAGAAGUGAGGUUUUGCACUUUAGACUUCUUGCUCCUUGGGUCCUGCAACAUUAAGUCCAUCAUGGGAAACAUCACUUUCUUUUGCCAUACCUGGCCAGUGAUUGUUUCAGAUACCAGAGCUAAUGAAACAUGAUCUCACCUGCUGUGAAGAGAGUCCAAAUAUCCAAGCUGACCACAAACAUGAAGGUGCAGUUGUUUGGUGAUCCUUUGUCUGGAUUUUUCUGAGCAGCUUCUUACCUUGGGAAAUAGGAGAGCAUUGUGCCCACUUGAUCCCAGACAGGACUUUGUGUUACCAGAGAACUUUUGCACCUCGGUUUGUACCCAAUUGGUGGCAGCUGUUCU